GUAGUGCAAAUGGUUUACAUUCAACUGCUAAUUGAAAGGUUGGUGGUUCAAACCCACCC
rnacentral:tRNA from 1 species